GGAACAGGAUUUUGAGCCCGCCACGGAUCCUCGUCGGCGCGAUCUCAGACAGGAACAGAGGAACGGCCUGCACGGAUCCAGUGAAUUGCGUGCAACUAAGUUUGUGAUGCAGAUGGUCAUAAGCAAUUAAGCAUUAUCGACUUCAGCAACUAUUUGGCAGAUUAUAAGAAACAGCAUAAAUGAAAAAUUCACGUCGGUUCAUUUUUACCCUCAGGUUAGCUAAUUAGAUUUUGAAAGAGAUAAAUGACUCUAAAGUCCCAAAAAAAUUAGGCCAGACCAUCACUUGAACGUCUUCAAAAGACUGAAAGGAGUCUGAGAGCGAUUGGUGCAACCGUGCAUUUAUUCUGUGUUUAUUUCCGACCUGUGUCAUUACGAUAUUUAUUGGUAUAUUGUGGAGAAGUUAAAGAGGUGAAGCUCUUUUUUAAGCAGAACAUCAGCAUGUCGUUGGUAUAUCAAUAAUGAUACAAUUCUAAACAUUAAGAAUUUCUAUGACAGGUAUACUAAUUUCAUAUUACAACUUAAUACAGUAAGAUACUUAUACUUUUUAUUUCAGUCUACCAGAUGAGGUUAAACCAGUUGAAAAACUGGAAUUAACAAUAUGCAACCGUGUACAAAGUGAAGUACAAAAAGUAACACUUUUAGAGCUUAAAGAUGUAGAUCCUUUUGAUGCAACAGUUUAUACCUUUACCCUCUCCUUUCUUUUUCCUAUCUCUUUUACAAAAAGUAAAUUUUAUUCAAUAAGUUUCUGACUAACAAAAUAUUUUUUCGUAGCAACACUUUGAAUGCACGGUGACUUACAAAAUUCACUCCCAAUGAAAAUUGGAACUACCCAGCUUGUAAAAUCUGCCAUUCAAAAUCAAAUUUCAAUGGAACAACAUAUAAAUGCUCCAAAGCUGAUUGUCCAUGCAUAGAUAUUGAACAUAGGUUAGUAUUUUUCUAAUUUAACUAUUGCUCCAUUGUUUACAUAACAAGCUUCACCUGCAAAAGUUUAAUUAAUAGCACACAUAACCACGGUUCAUAUUUAUCCCUGUAAACUUGUUGCAUAUUUUAUUUGUCAAAUUGCUGCAUUUCCAAAUGAAAUAUACUACCUACUGGUUUCACCAUUUCUUUUGCUGAAUAUGUCACGUCUCGCACCUGCUGUGUCAUAGCGCAUUCCAUCAUCAUACACUGAUAUAAACAAGAGGCAUUCAAAAUAAGAAAUCGCAUGUGCUGCUUUACUCCUGCCAGUCCACAAUCAUGGUGUUAAAUGUGUACAUGAUGACUCUACACUUGCUUACGCAAGUUAUAGAUCAAACUGAUCUGAUGAGUAUUGUGUAUAUCUACCUGUAGGUACAAAUUAUUAGUAAUGGCAACUGACAAGACAUAUGAGCUGGAGUUUUUAAUAUUCGACCGAGUUGCACGUUAGAUUAUAGGGAAACCAUGUGAAAGACUUUAUAAUCUUCAUGAUAAUUCCAAGUCCCUGGCUGACUUAACUAUAAAUAACAAUCAGAUGGAAGUAGAAACAUCAGCGUAUCAUGCUUCUGUUUUUUUUUCAUGUUUUUUUACAUGUGUUUUCUUUACAAGAACCUCUCUGAUUUACUGAACUUUUAUAUUCCUCUAAAAGUUUCAGAAGUAAGAAUCAGGCUCAGAAAAAUAUUACGAAGAAUAGAAGAGCUCGUGAUUCAAUGGAAGAAGAUUCAGAUGAUGAUGAUAAAAUAAAUUCUAAGAUAAACAAGCGUAUCGCUGGUUACAACAAGAAGGGUAAACAGUAAGAGCAGAAACAAGAAGUGUUUCACAAUACAUUUUGCCAAGUGAAGUACCUCUUUAUGGUGAAGCUACUUUUCCAGUAAAGGAGCGGCAUAUCUUUUGAUGUCUAUAAAACUUGUAAACAAAUGUUAUAUGCCUAUCAUGCAGUAUGCAGAAACUAUGUCUUUUGAUGUGUAUAUAGCA